rnacentral:rRNA from 1 species
UCAUCGUGCCAGCAGCCGCGCUAAUACGGAGGGGGCUAGCGUUGUUCGGAAUUACUGGGCGUAAAGAGUGCGUAGGCGGUUUAGUAAGUUGGAAGUGAAAGCCCGGGGCUUAACCUCGGAAUUGCUUUCAAAACUACUAAUCUAGAGUGUAGUAGGGGAUGAUGGAAUUCCUAGUGUAGAGGUGAAAUUCUUAGAUAUUAGGAGGAACACCGGUGGCGAAGGCGGUCAUCUGGGCUACAACUGACGCUGAUGCACGAAAGCGUGGGGAGCAAACAGGAUUAGAUACCCUGGUAGUCCACGCCGUAAACGAUGAGUGCUAGAUAUUGGGAGAUUUUCUCUCGGUUUUCGCAGCUAACGCAUUAAGCACUCCGCCUGGGGAGUACGGUCGCAAGAUUA